rnacentral:rRNA from 1 species
CCUACGGGCGGCAGCAGUGGGGAAUAUUGGGCAAUGGGCGAAAGCCUGAUCCAGCCAUGCCGCGUGUGUGAAGAAGGCCUUCGGGUUGUAAAGCACUUUCAGUGGGGAAGAAAGCCUUGGGGCUAAUACCCUCGAGGAAGGACAUCACCCACAGAAGAAGCACCGGCUAACUCCGUGCCAGCAGCCGCGGUAAUACGGAGGGUGCGAGCGUUAAUCGGAAUUACUGGGCGUAAAGCGCGCGUAGGCGGUCUGAUAAGCCGGUUGUGAAAGCCCCGGGCUCAACCUGGGAACGGCAUCCGGAACUGUCAGGCUAGAGUGCAGGAGAGGAAGGUAGAAUUCCCGGUGUAGCGGUGAAAUGCGUAGAGAUCGGGAGGAAUACCAGUGGCGAAGGCGGCCUUCUGGACUGACACUGACGCUGAGGUGCGAAAGCGUGGGUAGCAAACAGGAUUAGAUACCCCAGUAGUC